CUAGUAGAAAUACUCGGCGUUGCCCGGGUUAAAGAAAAUAAUGAAAUUUAAAAACGCUCUCUAGAUUACGCGUAUCUUUAUACAUAGAGAUGUAUA